CGGAAGGACAUUGUCG
rnacentral:rRNA from 1 species